UGUCCCUUUUGGGGGUCGCAGGGGGGUGCUGGAGCCUAUCUCAGCUGCCUUCGGGCGGAAGGCGGGAUGUAAUUAUUGUUUCAAAGGUUAUAUUUCGAUAAAAGCGCAGAAAGUUAAUGGUAAAGUUUGCUGGCAUGGAGCCUAACAAAGAUGGCUGACAAAUCAGAUGAACAGAAGAAAUGUUAGGAGUAAAGAAAUGCGUGGAGUUCAAUAAAGUGGUGUGCUGGAGCAAAUCAAGUUUUCAAGAAGUGGGUCAUCCUCCUGGCAGGAAAGAAAAUCUAUUCUAGAAGCACCUUCCAUUUCCUUAGGGAUGUGAGGCUACUCAGGGAAUGCUGCUACGAGUGAAACUGGAAGAGGCGGCAGUGGACCAUCACCUUGCUGCGUAAAUCAGCUACAUUAUCGACCGAUCGAAGUACGUGAGGCUGCGUGACUGUUCUUCAGAUGUGCUCCUACACUACCUGUUCAUGCUCCUCAGACUUCAGGCACCACUCCAAUCUGCAGAAGUUUUUGGACGACUCUGCAGCGGUGGGAUGUGUCUGAGGUGAGCAAACAAGAAUACAGAGAAAUCAUCUCUGGCUUUGUCGGCGUUUGUGUAUGUAAUCACUUGCACUUGAACACAAGCUUGUGAUUGAUUUCCGGAGAUCCGCUCCACCCCUUACCGGUGAACUUCCAGGGAUCAGACACAGAAAACAGUGGACUUAUUUCGGGUGUUCACCUCAUCAAUAAACUGGACUGCACCACAACUCAAAGGGCCAAAGGAGGAGACUUCUGCGGUGUUCUAUGCAAUUGUUUGCUGGAAUGGGGGCAGCUCUCUUAAUGAACUGAUUAAGAGAGCUGACUCCAUCCUAGGCUGCCCACUAGACUGCAUCGAGGAGGUAGCUGACAGAAUGAUGUUGAAAUCCAAUUUAUACUGUAAUGACCAGCUGGUGUUAAUGUUUUAUGUCCAAGUGGCUUGGAUUUGAUGUCUGUUUUUCCUAUGUUUGCAAACAGGCGAAGAAUAAGGAAGUGUUUUGUCUCCGGGGAAGCGCGGAGACGAAAGUGUUUUCACGGGAGGUAAAACCUCUUGGAAUUGUGCCGUUAUCAUAAGAUUGGUAAUAAAAAAAG